rnacentral:rRNA from 1 species
UUCUUGGAGAGUUUGAUCCUGGCUCAGGACGAACGCUGGCGGCGUGCCUAAUACAUGCAAGUCGAGCGAAUCAAUAGGAGCUUGCUCCUGUUGGUUAGCGGCGGACGGGUGAGUAACACGUGGGCAACCUGCCUGUAAGACUGGGAUAACACCGGGAAACCGGUGCUAAUACCGGAUAAUCCUUUUCCUCUCAUGAGGAAAAGCUGAAAGUCGGUUUCGGCUGACACUUACAGAUGGGCCCGCGGCGCAUUAGCUAGUUGGUGAGGUAACGGCUCACCAAGGCGACGAUGCGUAGCCGACCUGAGAGGGUGAUCGGCCACACUGGGACUGAGACACGGCCCAGACUCCUACGGGAGGCAGCAGUAGGGAAUCUUCCACAAUGG